GGAGGGGGCAAGCGUUAUUCGGAAUUAUUGGGCGUAAAGGGCGCGUAGGCGGCUUGACAAGUCAGUGGUGAAAUCCCUCGGCUCAACCGAGGAACUGCCUCUGAAACUGUCGGGCUUGAGGCCGGGAGAGGGUAGUGGAAUUCCCAGUGUAGCGGUGAAAUGCGUAGAUAUUGGGAGGAACACCCGUGGCGAAGGCGGCUACCUGGACCGGUUCUGACGCUGAGGCGCGAAAGUGUGGGGAGCAAACAGGAUUAGAUACCCUGGGUAGUCCACACUGUAAACGAUGAGCACUCGGUGCAGCGGGUGUCGACUCCUGCUGUGCCUUAGGAAACCCGUUAAGUGCUCCGCCUGGGGGAGUACGGUCGCAAGGCUG
rnacentral:rRNA from 1 species